UACAGAGAGAAGCCAGGUGGCGACACCGAGCGGAACUCGAAAGCCUGUCUCAGUUCGGAUCGGAGUCUGCAACCCGACUCCGUGAAGCUGGAUUCGCUAGUAAUCGCGCAUCAGCCAUGGCGCGGUGAAUACGUUCCCGGGCCUUGUACACACCGCCCGUCAAGCCAUGAAAGUUGGGAACACCCGAAGCCGGUGAGCUAACCGCAAGGAGGCAGCCGUCGAAGGUGGGUUCAAUGAUUGGGGUUAAGUCGUAACAAGGUAGC
rnacentral:rRNA from 1 species